rnacentral:rRNA from 1 species
GUGAGGAAUUUUCCGCAAUGGGCGAAAGCCUGACGGAGCAAUGCCGCGUGAAGGAUGAAGGCCUAUGGGUUGUAAACUUCUUUUCUCAGAAAAGAAUUAUGACGGUAUCUGAGGAAUAAGCAUCGGCUAACUCUGUGCCAGCAGCCGCGGUAAGACAGAGGAUGCAAGCGUUAUCCGGAAUGAUUGGGCGUAAAGCGUCUGUAGGUUGUUUAAAAAGUAUUCUGUCAAAGAUUAGGGCUUAACCCUAGAUAGGCAGAAUAAACUUUUAAGCUAGAGUUUGGUAGAGGCAGAGGGAAUGCCCGGUGGAGCGGUGAAAUGCGUAGAUAUCGGGAGGAACACCAAAGGCGAAGGCACUCUGCUGGGCCAAUACUAACACUGAGAGACGAAAGCGAGGGGAGCAAAUGGGAUUAGAUACCCGAGUAGUCC